UUAAAAAUAAAACUAAAUUUAAAAAAAUAUAAUAUUUAAUUUAAAAUAAAAAAUAGAAACUCAAUUAAAAUUAUAAAACAUAAUAUUUAUCUUAAACUUAAUUAAUUAAAUGAAAAACUAAAACUAUACAUAAUUUUAAACUAAAAUCUAAUUUUUUUCCAGCAGUUUAUCGACUUUUCUUCUUGUUCUUCUACCUGCUUGGGUCGAGUGUGGGUCUCCUUUUCCACUGAUGAUGGGCAAAAUGGGUAUGGGUGCAGAACUUCGACGACUUCAGCAUCAGUGUAGAUCUCAGAGCUUCGGCGUGGGUGUAGAUCCCAGAGCUUCGACGCCGAUUUCGCAUAGCUACAGAACUUCAGUGGCUUGGAACUUUGGCUAAUCUUAGAUGGGUUCGUAUAAGAGGCUUGGGAUUUUGGCAGAUCUGAGUUGUGAUGAAGGGAUCUAGUGAGAUUUUGAGCUUGGAGCGCAUGGGAAAAUUUGAGCUUGGCAGAGGAGAGGCAAGGAACUUUAGACUUCAGCGAACGAAGUACGAGACAUCGGAGGCAAGGACGACAACUGCGAGCAAAGGUUUUGAAAUUUUUAUGGAUUCCAAAUGACGAGAAGGAGAGAGUUUUCAAGGUUGGUGAUGACAAGUAAAGGCAAGGGUAAGCUGGAUCAGCCUAGAUUGGAGAGCUCAGCGAGUGGAAUGUACACGACCAGUUGCUCAGCCGCCACGGUUGAGAUUUAGGCAGGGACGCGAGACCCAAAGACUGUCUAUUUUGCCUUAGUAUGGCUAAUGAUUACUCAUGUACCUUUGGGAGUCUGUAAACUUACUUUUAACUCUGUUUCUUUUGGGAUCCUGUGUAUAUAACAGUUUAAUUAUAUAAAAUGAGUCUUUUAAGACCAAUACCCUUUUUAACUCUA